rnacentral:tRNA from 1 species
GGGGAUGUAGCUCAGUUGGGAGAGCGCAACGCUGGCAGCGUUGAAGUCGUCGGUUCGAUCCCGAUCAUCUCCAC